rnacentral:rRNA from 1 species
AUUGAACGCUGGCGGCAUGCCUUACACAUGCAAGUCGAACGGCAGCACGGGUGCUUGCACCUGGUGGCGAGUGGCGAACGGGUGAGUAAUACAUCGGAACAUGUCCUGUAGUGGGGGAUAGCCCGGCGAAAGCCGAAUUAAUACCGCAUACGAUCUACGGAUGAAAGCGGGGGACCUUCGGGCCUCGCGCUAUAGGGUUGGCCGAUGGCUGAUUAGCUAGUUGGUGGGGUAAAGGCCUACCAAGGCGACGAUCAGUAGCUGGUCUGAGAGGACGACCAGCCACACUGGGACUGAGACACGGCCCAGUCUCCUACGGGAGGCAGCAGUGGGGAAUUUUGGACAAUGGGCGAAAGCCUGAUCCAGCAAUGCCGCGUGUGUGAAGAAGGCCUUCGGGUUGUAAAGCACUUUUGUCCGGAAAGAAAUCCUUGGCCCUAAUACGGUCGGGGGAUGACGGUACCGGAAGAAUAAGCACCGGCUAACUACGUG